rnacentral:rRNA from 1 species
UACGGAGGGGGCUAGCGUUGUUCGGAAUCACUGGGCGUAAAGCGUGCGUAGGCGGCUACUCAAGUCAGGGGUGAAAGCCUGGGGCUCAACCUCAGAAUUGCCUUUGAAACUAGGUAGCUUGAACACGGGAGAGGUAAGUGGAAUUCCGAGUGUAGAGGUGAAAUUCGUAGAUAUUCGGAAGAACACCAGUGGCGAAGGCGGCUUACUGGACCGUUGUUGACGCUGAGGCACGAAAGCGUGGGGAGCAAACAGG